GACGAACGCUGGCGGCGUGCCUAAUACAUGCAAGUAGGACGCAGUUGCGAACGGGUGAGUAACGCGUAGGUAACUACCUAUCAGAGGGGGACAACUAUUGGAAACGAUAGCUAAUACCGCAUACUAGUAGAUGGACCUGCGUUGUAUUAGCUAGUAGGUAGGGUAAUGGCCUACCUAGGCAACGAUACAUAGCCGACCUGGGAAGGUGCUCGGCCACGCUGGGACUGGGACACGGCCCAGACUCCUACGGGAAGCAGCAGGAGGGAAUCUACGGCAAUGGGGGGAACCCUGACCGAGCAACGCCGCGUGAGUGAAGAAGGUUUUCGGAUCGUAAAGCUCUGUUGUUAAGGAAGCGGUACUUAACCAGAAAGGGACGGCUAACUACGUGCCAGCCGCCGCGGUAAUAC
rnacentral:rRNA from 1 species